AUUGAUUCUCUUUUCGGACUCAGCCCACUUGCACCCAAGUGAAUAAACAGCCUUGUUGCUCACACAAAGCCUGUUGGUGGUCUCUUCACACGGAUGCAUUUGACAUUUGGUGCUAUGACUUGGAUCGGGGGACCUUCCUUGGGAGAUCAAUCCCCUGUCCUCCCGCUCUUUGCUCCGUGAGGAAGAUCUACCUACGACCUCGGGUCCUCAGACCAGCCCAAGGAACAUCUCACCAAUUUUAAAUCGGUGACCCACUGGAAAUCAGACCGCCCAGCUCACCCGGCAGCCACUUCCAGAGCCCAGCCCCUAAAGCUCUGGCCCAAGGGUCUCUGACUGACUCCUUACCAGACCUGCUCAGCUUAGUGGCUGAAGACUGACGCUGCCCAAUCACCUUGGAAGCCCCCUGGACCAUCAUGGAUGCCAAGCUUCGGGUAACUUUCACAGUGGAGGGACUAAACCAGUGAUGAACUCCUGGCAACAUCCAGACAAGACCAAGCUUCUGUGCAACACCCCCUCCAAACGGCUGUCCAAACAUACUUCCAGGCCUGCUUCACCCGUUCCUCUAAACCAUAAUCUCUGAGGACCUGCUGUCUAUAAAAACAACUUCCUUCAGGCCUUGUCCUCCAAAAUGUUCCCCACCCCCAAAAUCAAAGACCUCUGAAUUAAAAAUCUAAAAUGCCUGGGGUGGCAGCUGUCAAAUCCUUGCCCAUGGGGUCCUCAGGCCUACUCAUAUAGAAAUGACCAGCAAUAUGCAUAUAGAGGACCAGUUCCACAUAUCUGGCACUCAGGUCAACAUCCAGGACGACACAUGGUCUGUCAUUGGUUAUUAGAAGGCCUAGGACAUUUCUCUCUUUGCCAGCCCCAACUUAUUCCAGGAGACAGGGACUAUUGUACUUACUGUCUUUCCUGUAUAGGGUCUGCAGUAAGGACUAUUGAACUCCUCCAUUCAAAACACCACUCACACCUUUGGGAAAAAAGUAACAUAAUAGACUUUUGGCUCGAUGCCAGGGGAUCCUAUUCAUAUGAUGGCAAAUGGGGACAAAAGGCCUUGGUAUAUAAAACGUUAUUCCUACCUUGGCCUAAAAACUCACUGCCACCUACCUUAAAGCUAUUAUGCUUAAUUGCUAUUUUUAGAUAAUUUAUUCUACUAGGAGAAUUCCAAGCUCAAAAAUAUGCUAACUGGUGCCUUGUUAGCCACACAAAAUUGUACCCGAAAACUUUCUAGACCAACUCACUAUAAAAUUAAAUUUUCUUUAGGUGUCCAUGCUGCCCCUAAGUCAUGCCUGAAGCAGCCCUGAGAAACAUCGCCCCUGCCCCAAUAAUCCCCAGUAAAAACUUAUAUUUUCUUUAUCUUUUCUUAUAACUUUAUAUUUUAUAAAUAAAAAGACAGGAAUGUCAGGCCUCUGCGCCGAAGCUCAGCCAUUGUAACCCCUGUGACUUGCACAUAUGUGUCCAGAUGGCCUGCAGGAGCCAAGAAGUCUGGGGCAGCUGAAAAACCACAAAAGAAGUAAAACAGCCAGUUCCUGCCUUAACAGAUUAACCAACAUUCCACCAUUCCACCAUUGUGACUGGUCCCUGCCCUACCUUAAUGGAUCGAUUGACCUUGUGACAUUCUUCUUCUGGACAAUGAGUCUUAUGAUCUCCCUACCAUGUACCUUGUGACCCCCCUCCUCUGCUAACAAUAGAUAACCACCUUUUAGUGUAAUUUUCCAUUACCUACCCAACUCCUAUAGGGCAACCCCUUCCCCAUCUCCCUUCGCUGACUCUCUUUUCAGACUCAGCCCACUUGCACCCAAGUGAAUAAACAGCCUUGUUGCUCACACAAA